GAUGAACGCUGGCGGCGUGCCUAAUACAUGCAAGUCGAGCGAACAGACGAGGAGCUUGCUCCUCUGACGUUAGCGGCGGACGGGUGAGUAACACGUGGAUAACCUACCUAUAAGACUGGGAUAACUUCGGGAAACCGGAGCUAAUACCGGAUAAUAUAUUGAACCGCAUGGUUCAAUAGUGAAAGACGGUUUUGCUGUCACUUAUAGAUGGAUCCGCGCCGCAUUAGCUGGUUGGUAAGGUAACGGCUUACCAAGGCGACGAUGCGUAGCCGACCUGAGAGGGUGAUCGGCAACACUGGAACUGAGACACGGUCCAGACUCCUACGGGAGGCAGCAGUAGGGAAUCUUCCGCAAUGGGCGAAAGCUUGACGGAGCAACGCCGCGUGAGUGAUGAAGGUCUUCGGAUCGUAAAACUCUGUUAUGAGGGAAGAACAAAUGUGUAAGUAACUAUGCACGUCUUGACGGUACCUAAUCAGAAAGCCACGGCUAACUACGUG
rnacentral:rRNA from 1 species